UUGGCUUGGAAGCAGCCAUUCAUUUAAAGAGUGCGUAACAGCUCACUAGUCGAGGAAUCGGGCGUGGAUAAUAAUCGGGUAUCAAGUUGUCUGCCGAAGCUAUAGGAUACGCAAGUAUCGGUAGGGGAGCAUUCCAUUCUGCGUUGAAGGCGUGGCGUGAGCCAUUCUGGAGCGUAUGGAAAAGCAAAUGUAGGUAUAAGUAACGAUAAAGGGGGUGAGAAACCCCCUCGCCGAAAGACUAAGGUUUCCUGAUCAACGCUAAUCGGAUCAGGGUAAGUCGGGUCCUAAGGUUCAGCCGAACGGCGAGACCGAUGGCAGAAACGGUUAAUAUUCCGUUACUACCUUUGAGGGUGACGUGGGGACGCAGCAGUGACACCGCCGCCGGCUGACGGAAUAGCCGGUUAAAGAGUGUAGACGUAGAUUUCCGCAGGCAAAUCCACGGAAAGAGUCGAACUUGACAGUAUGGAACGUCCUUCGGGACAAUCCAAUAGUGCGGGUAAGCAGACUGCCGAGAAAAUCCGCUAAACAUAACUUCAGAGGUACCCGUACCGCAAACGGACACACGUAGUCGGGUUGAAUAUACUAAGGCGCUUGAGUGAAUCACGGUUAAGGAACUAGGCAAACUGACCCUGUAACUUCGGGAUAAAGGGUCCCUACCCAGAAAUGGGAGGGCGCAGAGAAUAGGUCCAGGCAACUGUUUAACAAAAACACAGGGCUGUGCUAAUAUGAAAGUAGACGUAUACAGCCUGACACCUGCCCGGUGCUGGAAGGUUAAGAGGAGAUGUCAUCGCAAGAGAAGCAUUGAAUUGAAGCCCCAGUAAACGGCGGCCGUAACUAUAACGGUCCUAAGGUAGCGAAAUUCCUUGUCGGGUAAGUUCCGACCUGCACGAAUGGUGUAAUGAUCCGGACGCUGUCUCAACCGUGAGCUCAGUGAAAUUGUAGUAUCGGUGAAGAUGCCGAUUACCCGCGAUGGGACGAAAAGACCCCGUGAACCUUUACUAUAGCUUAUCAUUGAAUCUGGGCACGUGAUGUGUAGGAUAGGUCGGAGGCUUUGAAGCAGGUACGCCAGUAUUUGUGGAGCCGCUGUUGAAAUACGGCCCUUUGAUUAUUUGAGUUCUAACUCGCCUUUGCGAGGACACUGUUUGGUGGGUAGUUUGACUGGGGUGGUCGCCUCCAAAAGCGUAACGGAGGCUUCCAAAGGUGCCCUCGGACCGAUUGGUAACCGGUCUUAUAGAGUGCAAUGGCAUAAGGGCGCUUGACUGGGAGGCAGACAUGCCGAGCAGGCAGGAAACUGGGGCAUAGUGAUCCGGCGGACGUGUAUGGAAACUCCGUCGCUCAAAGGAUAAAAGGUACUCCGGGGAUAACAGGCUGAUCCCCCCCAAGAGCUCAUAUCGACGGGGUGGUUUGGCACCUCGAUGUCGGCUCGUCACAUCCUGGGGCUGGAGAAGGUCCCAAGGGUUGGGCUGUUCGCCCAUUAAAGUGGCACGCGAGCUGGGUUCAGAACGUCGUGAGACAGUUCGGUCUCUAUCUAUCGUGGGCGUUGGAGUUUUGCGUGGUGCCGUCACUAGUACGAGAGGACCGUGAUGGACAGACCUCCGGUUUACCAGUUGUGCCGCCAGGUGCACCGCUGGGUAUCUGAGUCUGGAAUGGAUAAGCGCUGAAAGCAUCUAAGUGCGAAGCCAGCCGCAAGAUGAGAGCUCCUCAUAAGGGUCGUUGUAGACGACAACGUUGAUAGGGUGCAGGUGUAAAGACGGUGACGUCAAAGCCGAGCACUACUAAUUGCCCGAAACUUUCUGUA
rnacentral:rRNA from 1 species